rnacentral:rRNA from 1 species
GGGACUACUUGUCCGGUGCAGAGAUGUGCCUUUUCGCAAGAACAGUGGCAGAGGUGCUGCAUGGCUGUCGUCAGCUCGUGUCGUGAGAUGUUGGGUUAAGUCCCGCAACGAGCGCAACCCUUACCCGUAGUUGCCAGCGAGUCAUGUCGGGAACUCUACGGGGACUGCCCGGGUUAACCGGGAGGAAGGUGGGGAUGAUGUCAAGUCCUCAUGGCCCUUAUGUCCAGGGCUACACACGUGCUACAAUGGGCGGUACAAACCGUUGCGAAGUCGCGAGAUGGAGCCAAUCGGAAAAAGCCGUCCUCAGUUCGGAUUGCAGUCUGCAACUCGACUGCAUGAAGUUGGAAUCGCUAGUAAUCGUGUAUCAGAAUGAUACGGUGAAUACGUUCCCGGGUCUUGUACACACCGA